UUGGGCCCUGGAAAGAGUGCAGAAAAGUACUGACUUAAAGAUAAUAAAUAACAUUUGUUUAGAGCUCACUAUGAACUCGUUGCUUAGAAUGUCCUAUAGAAUCUUCACAAUCACUCUAUGAAAUUGGUAUUGAUAAAUCUCAGGUGUAUCCAAAAUAAGCCUGUAUGUCAGGUUGAGAUAUUUUUACCUCUCUUUUAUCUUUCGGUUCGUCUCGGCACCAGACAUAAGGUGGUUCAACACAAUGCCCUUGCCCUGAACAGCUCCAGAUGCCAAGAAUUGGCAGAUUACUACUUUGGUUUCAGUGGGUGGUCAAAGAGGAUCAUCAAGCUUCAGGAUCUUUCUGACCUUGAAGAAAGGGAAGAUGAAGAUACUGUGGCACCACUUCAGAAGCAAAGCCUGAAGUUCUUCUGUGCUUUAGAGGUGGUGUUGCCAUCCUACGAGUGCAGGAGUCCUGGAGUUGGCGUGGCCGAGGAACCUUUGGAUAAGCUGGAGGAAGGAUGAAUUGCUCACCUGCUCCAAACCCCUCCUACAGAAAUUGUGGAGUCAUCACUGAUUCAGUGGUAACCGCUAAUAAUAGAGUGAAUUAAUAAUCCG